GGAUCAGUAGCUCAGCUGUGGAGCCUUCGCCUGGUAAGCGAAGAGACCCGGGUUUGACUCCCCGCUGAUUUC
rnacentral:tRNA from 1 species